rnacentral:snRNA from 1 species
CUCUACAACUGUGGUACACAUGUACUAAAACUGGAAUGACACAGAGAAGAUUAGCGUGGCCCCUGCACAAGGAUGACACACAAGUUUGUGAAACAUUCCAUAUUUUU